ensembl:piRNA 21ur-7554 ncRNA
UGCAGCGGUUUGAUGAUUUCA